CCCUUAGAUGUCCGGGGCCGCACGCGCGCUACACUGAAGGAAUCAGCGUGGCUUUCUCCCCGACCCGAAAGGGUUGGGAAACCCGUUGAAUCUCCUUCGUGAUAGGGAUUGGGGCUUGAAAUUGUUCCCCAUGAACGAGGAAUUCCCAGUAAGCGCGAGUCAUAAGCUCGCGUUGAUUACGUCCCUGCCCUUUGUACACACCGUCCGUCGCUACUACCGAUUGAACGGUUUAGUGAGGGCCUCGGAUUGGUCUCGGCCCGCUCUUUACCGGGCGGCGCCGUUGGUCGAGAAGACGCUCGAACUUGAUCGUUUAGAGGAAGUAAAAGUCGUAACA
rnacentral:rRNA from 1 species